rnacentral:lncRNA from 1 species
UCCAUGGUGCAUCUUUGCUUCUAUCAUAAAGAUAAAAUUCUUGGACCAUGAGGCAUAGCUUAGAGGUGCAUGUUCCACCAAUUGGGAAGGUAUCAUAUAGGCACUGCACCCCAGAUAGUUCCAGCUCAAGGCAAGAACUUGUAUCCCGGCCCACUAUACUUUUAUGAACUUCACUUUUCUUUCCAGAAUCAUGCCAAUCAGAGCCAGAGUAAAUCCUCCAUUUGAUGUCGAUGUUUUUCAGAAUUACACGUCCAUUAGCUGUUACUAUAACGUGAAUUCCAAGCUUCGGAUCCCACUGUGCUGGAAAGCGGUUUAGUGUACUUACAUGCUAUAUGUAGAAGACAGGGACCUGACACUAACAUGGAUAAUAAUCUGUAGCAACAUAUUAGAAACACGAGCAGUAAAUGGUUAAAAGCCUGGUUUCGUUUCUCAAUCCGCUAGAUGAAUAUUACCGCAACUGCAAUAACAAUCUAAGAAUGGCCUAAAAUUUACCGUGGCUUUAUCUAUGUUGGUCUUGUUUCCUUUGCUUAUCUGGUCCUAAGUACUUCUCCAUGGAUUCCUUUUUAUGUUCAGGAUCAAGACUGAAAAAUCCCCAAAGACUCUUUAGUACUCUGCAAAAUAACAUUACAAAAAGAGUUGAAUAUAAACUGACCUAUUUCUGAUGCCAACAAGAGCGCUAUGUACCGCCCUAACACAAGCUGAAGCAGGUGCUAUAGCAGCUGUUGGAACUCCCUGAACAACUGUUACAAAUGUUGAUCCAGCUCCGUCUCCACGUUGAUACUUUUUUAAAGGCGUGCGGACUAAUGCAGAAGCCGUCUUUCCUAUUCCAUCACCGAUGUUCUCGCAUGCCUAUAAAUGUAAACAUCUGAUUCAGAAGCGGACGAGGGAUCAUUUGAGCAGAAACUCAAGACAUGUACUAAUCCUUUACACUCACCUGACGCAUGCCUUGCUUAGCGUUUCUCGGCUGAUUAUGUCUAACAUUCGUCUUCAUUUUGCCCUGGGGCUGUGGCGAUGAUGGUGCACUUGCUAAUAUAUAUUCUGCUCUCAACAAAAUAUCAUGAGCCCCGGCUGCCAAGUGAACACCAAGUCCAACGGCUUCCAGUGAGAUGCUUCUCAGAAACGCAAUAGUACCUGAAAAUUGAUAAUUCCAGAUCAGUCACACGUACCAUCAUAGUAAACACACAAACUCUAAAUUCCUGGAUGAACCAAACACAUAAGUUUGAAGUUAUUUUUAGGGAUAGUACUAAUAUUAUUAACCCUGUUCUAGUGGAGUGAGAUUGACACCAUAGACCAUUUAUGACCAGCUCCACUUUUGCAAGUGGUUUUUUAACAGUUAUAACCAUAUAUGAUAACAUAAAGAGCACCAUAGAUAGGUUAACAGAAAAGAAUAAGGAAAACAAGGAAAAAUAAUAGUGAAAAUUGAACAUUGAGCCCUUUAACUUCACGCCUUACCUCUUUGGACUCCCUUUACUAGCCUUCGAUCUUUUCUGUAACUUUGAACAGGUGAAGAGACUAGCUUCGUAGCAGCAGCAUAAAGAGCAGAAAGUGAUCUUACUGUUGGGAUACCCUUCAACAGUUGAUGAAUCUAAAAAUACAAUUACAGAACAUUGAAAAGCUUGCGAGUCUGAACCGAUAAAAAGGAUGAUUAUUAAUGCUAUGAGAAACGAACCUGAUUCUGAGAUAUAUCUUCCAACCACUCUCCCACUACAGUCUCGCAUACAUUACCCCAGCCGUAGAUUCCAGCAGCAUGCACAUGUUUGAGCUUUAGUUCAAUACCCUACAUAUGUUCCUCUAUGAGUAAACGAAGCUGAAAAAAAAAAUUUGAAUACACAAGCUCAAAAUUUGUGUUCCUUACCUUCCAGGGAACAAGGUUCACUAGCUCUGCAUAUUUCCCUCCAGUUAGUGCUGCUAGAUCAACAUGAUGUGGACUGUAGUCAACUCGAACAGUAACAGGCCAUAUGUCGAAUUUCUGCAAGUAAAUUUCCCUAGUCAGAUCAUUUUAACAAAAUCAACCUCAUAGAAACAUAUUUCCUCAGAAAAUGAAAACACAAAUAUAUCUUUACUUUAGCUGAGAGACAAAAAAAAAAAAAAGUUUAUUUUUGGAGACAUUAACAUGAUUAGUAUCGAGCAUGAAAACACACCCUAUCCCUAUACAUAUUUUAUACACGUCCUAGGAAGAUAAUGCGUGAAUAUUUCUCCUCUACCAUCAUAUUGGCUUACAGGAAGAAAGAAACUUUAUUAACCUGAAAAUAUGGAAGAAGCGCUUCUUCUAUGAUAUUAUGUCCGUUAACAGAAACCGACAACGCUGAACCACCUGAGUCUCCGACGGAAACAACAGGCUUUUCUAGGUUGUUAGCUCCAAAAAAGCUGAUGAGAAAAUCCAGUUGACUUUGAUGAAGAUGCAACAGUAUAGGGAGUAAAGCAACACGUAACCUGUGAGGAAGCAGUUAAUGAGUUAAACGAAAUAAAGGGUUCAUAUACCAUAAAUAGAAAGUCCAUAUAAGUUGUAAUGUAACACCAAAAUCUAUUUAAGGGAAAAAGAUUAACGUAGCAGAAAUAACGUAGUUCAAAGUUUACUAAGAUCCUUAUUCUUAGACAUAAAAAGGUAAGUAUAACACAGUAGAAUAAUAAAAAAAAAGCAUACCGGUUUUCCUCAAGUGGCGUGUCAGGGUCAGGUCUGACAGCUUUUAAUUCAACCUUGAUUGCAUUUGCAGACGAAUCUCUUGGGUGAUCUUUUGAGUUGUAAUAUCCAAGCACCUACGAACAAGUUCAAUUAUCUACUCAGUUACUUUUAGUAUAACCAAUCUUAUGACAUUUAAAGGUGAAAAAAUAUCAAUUACCGUUCUCCAUGGUGCAUCUUUGCUUCUAUCAUAAAGAUAAAAUUCUUGGACCAUGAGGCAUAGCUUAGAGGUGCAUGUUCCACCAAUUGGGAAGAUCUCAUAUAGGCACUGCACCCCAGAUAGUUCCAGCUCAAGGCAAGAACUUGUAUCCCGGCCCACUAUACUUUUAUGAACUUCACUUUUCUUUCCAGAAUCAUGCCAAUCAGAGCCAGAGUAAAUCCUCCAUUUGAUGUCGAU